rnacentral:sRNA from 1 species
GGGAAGGCAGUUCCUCAAAGUUGGACGUAGAGCUACCAUGUGACGCAGCAUUUCCACCCUGAGGGGACACUCAGAAGACAGAGGCAGAUCCCCAGUGACAUCUCUUUCCUGUUGGGGUUUGCUUUUGUCACAGUCUCCAAUAGAGGUCAUCGUUCCUGGUGCCAGACCAGCUACGAUAUUACCAUACAUGUAGCAUUUUACCCGUGCUGGUAUAGAGGACUCUAAGAAGUGGGGCAUGCUGUUUCUGGUGAACCAGCUGUUUAAAAUCUACUUCAAGAUCAACAAACUCCAUUUAUGUAAACCGCUAAUUAGAGCAAUUGACAGCUCAAACCUGAAAGACGAUUACAGCACUGCACAGAGAGUAACAUACAAAUACUACGUUGGACGCAAGGCCAUGUUUGACAGCGACUUUAAGCAAGCUGAGGAGUACCUGUCGUUUGCCUUUGAGCAUUGUCACCGUUCUAGUCAGAAGAACAAAAGGAUGAUUCUGAUCUAUUUGCUUCCAGUAAAAAUGCUAUUGGGUCACAUGCCCACUGUGGAGCUCCUGAAAAAGUAUCACCUGAUGCAGUUUGCAGAAGUAACCAGAGCUGUGAGCGAGGGCAACCUGCUGCUGCUGCACGAGGCGCUGGCGAAGCACGAGGCCUUCUUCAUUCGCUGCGGGAUCUUCCUCAUCCUGGAGAAGCUGAAGAUCAUCACCUACAGGAACCUCUUUAAGAAAGUGUAUUUGUUACUGAAAACACACCAGCUCUCUCUGGAUGCUUUUCUGGUUGCCCUGAAAUUCAUGCAGGUGGAGGACGUGGACAUUGACGAAGUUCAGUGUAUUCUGGCUAACUUGAUAUACAUGGGCCACAUCAAAGGCU